UGGUGGAGUGAUUUGUCUGGUUAAUUCCGUUAACGAACGAGACCUUAAUCUGCUAAAUAGCUAGGCUUAGCUUCGGUUAGGCCGUCAGCUUCUUAGAGGGACUAUCGGUGUUUAACCGAUGGAAGUUUGAGGCAAUAACA
rnacentral:rRNA from 1 species